AGAGUUUGAUCCUGGCUCAGGAUGAACGCUAGCGGCAGGCUUAACACAUGCAAGUCGAGGGGUAGAGGUUGCUUGCAACCUUGAGACCGGCGCACGGGUGCGUAACGCGUAUGCAACCUACCUUUUACAGAGGGAUAGCCCAGAGAAAUUUGGAUUAAUACCUCAUAGUAUAUAUCUUUCGCAUGUUAGGUAUAUUAAAGUUCCAACGGUAAAAGAUGGGCAUGCGUCCUAUUAGCUAGAUGGUAAGGUAACGGCUUACCAUGGCUACGAUAGGUAGGGGUCCUGAGAGGGAGAUCCCCCACACUGGUACUGAGACACGGACCAGACUCCUACGGGAGGCAGCAGUGAGGAAUAUUGGACAAUGGGCGCAAGCCUGAUCCAGCCAUGCCGCGUGCAGGAAGAAGCAUCUAUGGUGUGUAAACUGCUUUUGUACAGGAAGAAACAUCCCGACGUGUCGGGACUUGACGGUACUGUAAGAAUAAGGAUCGGCUAACUCCGUGCCAGCAGCCGCGGUAAUACGGAGGAUCCAAGCGUUAUCCGGAAUCAUUGGGUUUAAAGGGUCCGUAGGCGGUUUGGUAAGUCAGUGGUGAAAGCCCGCAGCUCAACUGUGGAACGGCCAUUGAUACUGCCAGACUUGAAUUACAAGGAAGUAACUAGAAUAUGUAGUGUAGCGGUGAAAUGCUUAGAUAUUACAUGGAAUACCAAUUGCGAAGGCAGGUUAUUACUUGUGGAUUGACGCUGAUGGACGAAAGCGUGGGGAGCGAACAGGAUUAGAUACCCUGGUAGUCCAA
rnacentral:rRNA from 1 species